rnacentral:rRNA from 1 species
GAGUUUGAUCGUGGCUCAGAACGAACGCUGGCGGCAGGCUUAACACAUGCAAGUCGAGCGCCCAGCAAUGGGAGCGGCGCACGGGUGAGUAACACGUGGGAACAUGCCCUAUGGUUCGGAAUAACGCAGGGAAACUUGCGCUAAUACCGGAUAAGCCCUUACGGGGAAAGAUUUAUCGCCAUUGGAGUGGCCCGCGUUGGAUUAGCUAGUUGGUGGGGUAAAAGCCUACCAAGGCGACGAUCCAUAGCUGGUUUGAGAGAACGACCAGCCACACUGGGACUGAGACACGGCCCAGACUCCUACGGGAGGCAGCAGUGGGGAAUCUUGGACAAUGGGGGAAACCCUGAUCCAGCCAUGCCGCGUGAGUGAUGAAGGCCCUAGGGUUGU